CACCCCCCCCCCCCCACCACUCAUUUAACCCAUCCCCCAUCUCCCCUCUGGUAACCAUCAGUUUGUUCUCACUACUUGACAUCCAACCCAUUUCCUUAGGCUCAUGAGGAUCACUCUUCUCUCAAUAGCGUGGUAAACCAAGGACUAAUUUUACCAAAUAGUUACAUAGGUUGAUCCCAGAAAGAAGCCUGUUCAGUCCAAGUGGUCAUACGGCUCCCUGUAACACUAGUAUCUCAUGGCUUGAGGCAUGCAGCCCUGCCAGUUUGGUUAAGCCCCUGAGACCUCACGUGUACAGCAUAUCGGGGAAUAAAAGACUUCACAUGGAACAAGCCUAUCAGAUUCAUCAGAGAAAUCUCUGCAUCUUAAAAAUCAGUCUCAAAAACUAUGUCAAAGAUAGAGUGCUGAGAAUGAUCUAUUUGGAUGAGACCUGGCCAUUUACUGCUAGUUAAAAGUGCAUAUGGCUUGGUCUUUUGAUCUUCUGAAGGAUUAUCUGUAACUUUCUGUAGUCUAGAGUUCUCGCAGAGAAGCAAUUCGAAUGCAUUAAUUUAUAGUAUCGAAAGGAUUUUACCUUAGAAAUUACUAAUACCAGCCCACAGGAUUACGGCUAUUUAAAAAAUCAUUCCCUAUUUUCCUGCAUUUAUCAUUCAAAAACCAGAAUAACCUAGCACCAUGCUGACUGCUACAGGGAAAGGGGUCCUUCAUGCUUUGUCUUCACGUAGCAGUUGUCAAAGCAUAAAUGUCAGACGGGUUUCAAAGGAGAGGGGUAUACGAUGUGAAAAAUCAACCAAUUUUUCACUCUACGAUAGAAUGAAGAGACAUUCACAAAAUCGAUUCCUAUGAAAAUUCUAUUUUUCAUACCACUGACAACUAGCAGCACCAAACUGGAUUAACAAUGGUGAUGAGUAACUGGAAUCUACGUAUAUUUUCAUCACCCAUUUCAGUAUUUUGUUUCUUAGGGCUAUUGUUUUUCCUCUGCCGCUCAGUCAAGUGUCAGCUGUGACUUUUUGAGUAGCUUUGAGUAAUGGGAUCAGCUAAUGUUCUGUACAUGAAGAAAUUCCGUAUCAUUUGCUUCUCUAAAAAUACUGCUGCCUGCCACCGGAGCCAAUCAACAGUGAUAAAUAGCCAAAGAGACAAGUAGGUCUCUAAAUUUACUUCGUAUCUGACAGCCCUUCAGCAGAUAGGGAUAAUGGAUCCCUAUGACUCACGAAUGCAACUCCCUCCUACUACAAGCAAGCCCUUUCUUUCCCAGACGAGAAAGGGCAAGGAUUCUUAAUGACCCAAUACGUUCUCCCCUUCCCCUUUGCAACAACCCAACAAAAAUUUGUUAAACGCCUGCGUGUACUAUCAGGUUCUAUAAAGCUUCUGGGCUGGAUCUAAGAAGCUGAAAAAGACACACAUCCUUUUCACCAUUAAAAGUCUGUUCUUAUGUGGCUUAGAAGCCUAUCUGAAUUAAUGUUACCAAUCAAAAUGAAGCUGACAGAUCAUGAAUUCGUGUGUAUACACAUCUCAGUGCUCCACCUCAAUGCCCUCCAGAUACUCAAGUGGCUAAUCUGCAUAUUGGACAAUUUGGAAUAUGCAGAUCUCCACACAUUUAUGUGGAAUUACCUUUAUUCUCUAGGUGUGCAUUUUGGAUUCACCCAUUCAAAAACGUUUAUUAAGCCCUCAAUACGUGCCAGACACCCUACACUACAUGCUGGGAACUCACUGGUGAUACAAAAUGGACAGAAUUACAUCAACUUAUUUACCCACUGAACUGAUGACCUUAAAAAAAAAAAUGUAAUUUUGAUGUGUUGGUUGUAUGUUUUGGCCGAUCGGAGCUUAUAAAUACAUGCUUCUAGGAUUACUGCAUUUUCUGCCGUGGGUGAUUCGACAAGGAAUCAGUCUUGCCAGAGUAUAAACAUUUUUGUGAGGUCCAAGAUGAUAGGAAUACAUUUAAGUUUCUCAGGUCAAAAGAAUUAAAGGGCCUUUGCCAACCCAUGACAACUAGACAAUGGCUUAAUAAACUUUUUCUCUCAAAACCCACCCCACCAUCCACUUACUCAAGCUCACGCAAAGAGCAGUGUUCAACUGCACGGAAAUCCCACCCACGUGUCUUAACCUCACCUACUCCUCUGAUUACGACAGAGAGUAGAGCUAAGUGGCCAUGUUAGCUACUUUUAAAUAGCUGCAAGUGACUUAUGUCAAAUCCAAAUUUGGUGUUAUCAAAAGAUUUGAUGUAACAUCUGUAACGGUCAAGUUCUCCUCAACAUACUAUAUAUUUACUGAUACUGUCAGUUUUUUCUCACUAACAUUCCUUCACAUCCAUUUUGUCCUGGUAUUUUACAUAAAUAUAAUUGGUCUCUAAUGCUGUGGAUAUUAAGAAGUUAUUAUUUUUGCAUUCAAAACCUUUUUAGAGGACUUUUUCAUCAUUAUUCCCUCUCACCUCUCAUAUCUCAUUUUUUACUCUCAGUAUGUUCUAUGCACCAGGCCCUUUGCUAGGCACCAGAACUAGAAAGACAAAUGAGACACGGAGCAUCUUUAAUUGAGCUAUUCUAUCACGUUAAAAAAAAUUAAGCAGGAGAAAUAGGGAGGAACAUAAUAAUCAAAGCAUAGAAGCAUUUCCCAGAAUUGGAUUUGUUAUGAGCUGUUUUUGCCCAAUUACUACUUUAAUUGAACCAUCUAUAAUUCCUUCCACUUAUAUUUUUAGUCUAGAGGAAGCCAGACGUAAGAUGUUACACAUGAAACCAGAAGCCAGCACGUUUCUGACAGCAGGAACUCCCUCAAGUCUAUUAAAAUCACCAAAAGGAAGAGGAAAUCAACAUGUGAUGGUUCUGAAAAUGACAUCUGACAAAUCCAGAACCAUGAGUUCGUUUGUGGUCCUGGGCUGGCUACAGGGAGGUGGGGGGACAAGGCAGGACCCCAACUGGGACAAUUCUGCACAUGGGGACCUAGGUGAAGACAGCCUUCCAUGUUUUGUAAGGAUUCUCAAGAUCCAGCCUUACCAGGACAGCAGAGGCCCUUCCCAAGUCUGAUUAACACAACACUUCCUUCUGCUACAGGACAUUUAUGACAUGUAAGCAUGGUCUCCCUACUUUAGUAUGCUGUGCGUGGGUACAGGUGCACAUAUGAAGACCCCUCUCCUGCCAUGGCUAUCCCCACCACUCUGUCUUUAGCAUAAUUUUAAUUAAGGAGAAAAGUCCAUCGAAUGUUAUCAUCCCCUUCUUCCACCUUCGGAUACAUCUCUAUAUUCCCUUACCAGCCAAUUAGUGAUAGCGUACAGGAGAGUGAAUCCUCUAAUAUUCAGUGCCCCCCAAUUCCCCACACACCAUCUAGUAGUGAUGAUAACUGUAUUAACGGCAAUGAUGAUGCUGAUGAUGGUAUUCUCAAUGAAUUUUAAAAACACCUAAAAGGGCCAUUUUAACAGUGAGUGGAAAAUAAUCUUGAAUUUUCCUUUUGGAAACAUUUCCCAAGAAACAAACUGCUCGUGUUACCUUGAGAAGAAUCACCAAGGUCUCUAGGUUAGAAUGCAAGGUAAAGCCAUCUAUAUUUUAAAAUAAGAAGAUAUUGAUUCACUGAGCAAUUGAAAAUUGCAUUUCCCUGUUCACUGGCUUUCCAAAUACUAGUAGUAAGACAAUAAGGUGUUUUUGAAGUCGGGGCACAGCCUUCAGCUAUGGGCUCCAUGUGUGAAAACGCAAUGCUCUUACUUAUUAAGUCUCAGUUUCAAAACUACCCUCCAUCAUCAUUUCAUUUCACUUGCCGUAUCUUUGUCUGUAAGUCAUUUUUGUUGACCGAACCUUUCUUGCCUUACAGAUGCCUGUGUUAGAGCUGAUUACUACUAGUGCUUUCCCCUGAGUAAGUCUUGUUGUCGACUUUAUUGCCACUUGAAUUCCUUCUCCUUAAAUAAACAUAAAGGCAUUUCUCUGGCUAUUCACCACAUGUACUUCUUCCUUUGCUAUUAAAAAUAUAGAAAGCAACAAUAACAAAAAGCCAGAAGUAUAGUCCGUUUUGAAUCUUACACUUCGAUUACCAGUUGGAAAAUUGAGGAACCAGUAGUAGCUUAACCAACAGCUCUAGUUCCUCCAGAGAUCACUAGAGGACCUACCCAGCAGAUAGGUAAGUGGUUCAAUAGUUUCUGCUUGGUUAACAGAGAAACUCAAGAGAUAACACACCCGACGGCAAGAUGGAGAUUAACAUUAGGAGCCCCAGAGUGGAAAAACGUCCACUAAUGCUACAAAUUAGUAUUUCACCAAAGGAUUUCAAAUCCCUUGCAGAGUCAGCUCCCACUGCAGGGGCAGACAAGAGAGUAGCAACUGAAGAGCCCGUCCUAAACACAUGUUCCAUAGCGUGGGUACCUUUUGAUCUGCCAGCCCCGUCUCCCGACACGGCUCGCUACACAUCCAUGGAGCUGUGCAGUGUUGAACCCGUGGAUGCGGUAAAACAUGUGCUGUGGGGCCUUAUGCCUUGUGCCUCCUUCGUCACGGCCACGGUGGCCAAACCCUUAGGCGUUACAUGACAGAGUGCUUAAAGUCAGGCUUGCACGCUGGAGGAGACUCUUCCUUUUGGCACACUGUACUCCACUAUUCUGGAAGAAGUGGCCCUUUGUUGCUGCGCUGAUGAGGCAACCUCUUCAAGAUCACCCUGGCUGCUUUCCUGCCUUCCCGCUCAGCAAACAGCAGACAGAAGUGACCAGGCCGCCCGCCUUCGCUCUCGUCUCUGAUGCUCUCCCUCAGGAGGCUACCUCCGAUGCAAGUUCUUCUGCUUCUACUUCUACUUCAUGAAUCAGCGUAUUUACAAACCUCCCAGUGUCUAGACCGAGCAAUGCAAUGAUGCAGGAGCCCAGCCUUGGGCAAAAGAUGGGGCAAAAUGCAAGAGGGAGAGUGGUUUAAAACAUCAUUCUGUUCCACAACAUUUUUUCCUGUUCCACUCAGUGAGACAGAGACAGUCUCUUUCUCGCUCGCUCUCACAUGGAGAAACAGAUCUUUGCAAUGUCUCCAAAGACAGUGCAUCAGGGAAGGAAUAACAGAUUAAUUCUUCUGAGCCAUAUAUUAAAAUACAAAGCAUCCAGAUGACAAUCCUGUCAUCUUUUCUUUCCAGCCUGUCUGGACUCCCAUGUGCUUCCUAGACUUGUAUCAAUAACUCACCUUUGCUAGGAAGGGAGGGAGGGAGAAAAAAAGGACAGAGUAGAAAAUUACAGCACGUCGCCACCCAGUAGUUAUGAAAAAUAAUAGGCAUAAAGAGCAAAAAAAAAGCUGAUCACUAAACAAAAUCAUUAGGAACUGAUCAAAGUGUCAGGACGAAGUAGAAAUUGGGGCUGAAAACCAACCUUCUUUGGUCCCAAAGAGGGAGGCAGCCUGGGGUACUUCAGGGAACAUGUGUUACUCUGAGGCAUACCUGAGUCACAGCCCUGCACCUGCCACAUGCCCGCAUGUGACUCUAAGUUUCAGACUCUUCAUAUAAAGACGACAGCAUGAAGCAGCUUUAAAGGUGCCUUCACAGCUUUAAUAACUCUGGACGGGAACUCCUCGAGUCCAUGCAUGGGGUUUGUGAGGGUCCAGGAGUCCUGGACCCUCAGAGGCCCAAGUGUGUCUGCUGUUCUAGAAACAGAAUCAGGGUCCUACCGGAGAUCCAUGUGUAUGUGGCAACUUGUUUUAUGACUGGGCAACAGGAAUUAGUGGAAAAUAGAUGGGUUAUUUAGGAGAUGGUGUUGUAAAGACUAGCUUUCUACAGAGAGAAAAUGUUGGAUCGAUACCUCACCACCAUAAAAGCAAAUCCCCCCAAAGCACCCCCCCCCCGCCCAACCCCCUCCAAAUGCCAUAAAGGUCUAGAUGUGAAGCACAACCAUGAACCCACCAGAAAUAGCUACCGGAAAGUAUUCUUGAUAACUGGGGAUGAAAAAGGAUCUUAAGCAUGACUUUUUUCUAAGUCACAAAGGAAUAUAUCGAUGCAUCUGCCUUCAACAAAACAUGCCAGCCAAAAUCGACAGAAGAUACGGGCCAUCUCUAAAAACGGACAAAGGAUUGAUAUCUAGACUAUACGGGAGGUCCCCAAGGAAGAAAAAAACCAAUGGAAAAAUUUACAUAAGAUGUGGAACAGGCAGUUCAGAGAAGGAAAAGCCCAAAUGGCAAAGAAUCAUAUAAAGAGAAGUUCGAGCUCACUCAUCA